AGUGAACGCUGGCGGUAGGCCUAACACAUGCAAGUCGAACGGCAGCACAGUAGGAGCUUGCUCUUACGGGUGGCGAGUGGCGGACGGGUGAGGAAUACAUCGGAAUCUACUUUUUCGUGGGGGAUAACGUAGGGAAACUUACGCUAAUACCGCAUACGACCUACGGGUGAAAGCAGGGGAUCUUCGGACCUUGCGCGAUUGAAUGAGCCGAUGUCGGAUUAGCUAGUUGGCGGGGUAAAGGCCCACCAAGGCGACGAUCCGUAGCUGGUCUGAGAGGAUGAUCAGCCACACUGGAGCUGAGACACGGUCCAGACUCCUACGGGAGGCAGCAGUGGGAAAUAUUGGACAAUGGGCGCAAGCCUGAUCCAGCCAUACCGCGUGGGUGAAGAAGGCCUUCGGGUUGUAAAGCACUUUUGUUGGGAAAGAAAAGCAGCAGGUUAAUACCCCGCUGUUCUGACGGUACCCAAAGAAUAAGCACCGGCUAACUUCGU
rnacentral:rRNA from 1 species